rnacentral:rRNA from 1 species
CCUACGGGUGGCUGCAGUGAGGAAUAUUGGUCAAUGGACGCAAGUCUGAACCAGCCAUGCCGCGUGAAGGAUGAAGGCCUUCUGGGUUGUAAACUUCUUUUAUUGGGGAAGAAAAUUACGGUUUCUACUGUAACCGACGGUACCCAAGGAAUCAGCACCGGCUAACUCCGUGCCAGCAGCCGCGGUAAUACGGAGGGUGCAAGCGUUAUCCGGAUUCACUGGGGUGUAGGCGUGCUUAUAAGUGCGUGGUGAAAUCUCCGGGCUCAACCUGGAAACUGCCAUUGAUACUAUUAGUCUUGAAUAUCGUUGAGGUAGGCGGAAUAUAUCAUGUAGCGGUGAAAUGCAUAGAUAUGAUAUAGAACACCGAUUGCGAAGGCAGCUUGCUAAACGAUGAUUGACGCUGAGGCACGAAAGCGUGGGGAUCAAACAGGAUUAGAUACCCGGGUAGUC